GAUGAACGCUGGCGGCGUGCCUAAUACAUGCAAGUCGAGCGAACGGACGAGAAGCUUGCUUUUCUGAUGUUAGCGGCGGACGGGUGAGUAACACGUGGAUAACCUACCUAUAAGACUGGGAUAACUUCGGGAAACCGGAGCUAAUACCGGAUAAUAUUUUGAACCGCAUGGUUCAACAGUGAAAGACGGUCUUGCUGUCACUUAUAGAUGGAUCCGCGCUGCAUUAGCUAGUUGGUAAGGUAACGGCUUACCAAGGCAACGAUGCAUAGCCGACCUGAGAGGGUGAUCGGCCACACUGGAACUGAGACACGGUCCAGACUCCUACGGGAGGCAGCAGUAGGGAAUCUUCCGCAAUGGGCGAAAGCCUGACGGAGCAACGCCGCGUGAGUGAUGAAGGCCUUCGGAUCGUAAAACUCUGUUAUUAGGGAAGAACAUAUGUGUAAGUAACUGUGCACGUCUUGACGGUACCUAAUCAGAAAGCCACGGCUAACUACGUG
rnacentral:rRNA from 1 species